UUCGCAAUGCCCGAAAGGGUGACGAAGCGACGCCGCGUGUGGGAAGAAGGCCUUCGGGUUGUAAACCACUGUCGGGAGUUAAGAAAUGCAAGGAUAUGAAUAGUGUCUUUGCUUGACUAAGGCUCCGGAGGAAGCCACGGCUAACUCUGUGCCAGCAGCCGCGGUAAUACAGAGGCGGCAAGCGUUGUUCGGAAUUAUUGGGCGUAAAGAGCACGUAGGCGGCUAUGUAAGUCGGUUGUGAAAGCCUUCCGCUCAACGGGAGAACAGCAUCCGGUACUACAUGGCUUGAGUGCGGGAGGGGAGAGUGGAACUUCUGGUGGAGCGGUGAAAUGCGUAGAUAUCAGAAGGAACGCCGGCGGCGAAAGCGGCUCUCUGGCCCAUAACUGACGCUGAGUGUGCGAAAGCUAGGGGAGCAAACGGGAUUAGAUACCCCGGUAGUCCUAGCCGUAAACGAUGGGCACUAAGUAGAGGGGUUUU
rnacentral:rRNA from 1 species